rnacentral:tRNA from 1 species
UAUGUAGCUCAGUGGUAGAGUGUCUGACCAGUCAUAGGUUCGACUCCUGUUGGGAGAA